GUUAUUCUUCGGUUUGCCUCCUCCCAGUGGCGUGGAUUUGCUCCCGACCCGCUUUUGGGGCGUGCCUGCUUCCUCCUCUCUGUUAGAUCUCGCUCUGUCACCCAGGCUGGAGUGAAAUGGCACAAUCUUGGCUCACUGUAACCUCCGCCCCCAGGUUCGACUGAUUCUCGUGCCUCAGCCUCCUCAGUAGCUGGGAUUACAGAAUUUUACACCUGGAACUCCUGGGUGGGAAGGUAUAAACCGUUUAAAGUCUCCGGCAACACACUAAUAAAUUGCUUCAAAGGAAAGUUCUCAACCGUUACUCUCAGCAGUGUGUGUAUUAGGGCCAUCCUCACCACACCCUUUCAGGUAGCGAGAUGAGCCCCAGAGAGGCGAAGCCACUUGAGCUCGUGAGUGACAGUCAGAUGUCAAGCCCUGCUCUUUCUAAAGCGUGCUGCCUUCAGAAAAGAAGAGCCAGAAGGAUGGAAAUUACUUCAGAAAGAUGAAUACCAGCUUUGAAGGAAUAAAAGCUGACGAGGAAUUGAAGGAGUUGAGGCACGAGCUUGAACAGGGUUGCAUGUUUGGCCCUUGAUUGUAAAUGCCCAUUGCUGCACCUGUUCCUGUUACUUGGGGAGUUGCAGCAGAAGGAACAGCGGCCUGGGACUCCAGAGAACUGGGUUCCCUCUCAUCCCUCCAGGGCCACCACUUCUUGUGGGCCCUUGGGCAAGUCACUGUACUUUCUGAGUCUCAGUUUCCCCAUUUGCAGAAUGGAAAUAACUACCCCGGUCUACCAACUUAGAAGAAUUGCUUUGAGGAUCUGAUAAGGUGGUGUGGAUGAUGCUGCCUUGGGGGCUUUACAGUCUGGAGCUCAAGGGACCCCUUAAGUUGGGCUUACUUAGUAACUCCAGGGGUGGGCAGAACAGGACUCCAAUGAGGGUUUUUUUCUUUUUCCCUUUUUUUUCUUUUCCUAUCUCUUAACUUUUAUCUUUAUUAUUUUACAAUGCCCUUGUAAGAUGAAACAAGUGAUGCUGAAAUAUCUUUUUCUUUUUUAACCUUUAUUUUAGAAUUGGGGUACAUGUGCAGGUUUGUUACAUAGGUACAGUGUGGGCUGCUGAGGUUUGGGAGUACGAAUGAAUUAGUCACCCCAGUGGUGAGCAUAGUGCCCGAUAAGUGGUUUUUUCAACCCUUACUCCCAUCCCUCUCCAUUCUUGUGUUCCCCAGUGUCUGCUGUUCCCAUUUUUAUGACCAUGUGUACUCAAUGUUUAGCUCCCACUUAGAAGUAAGAACAUGCCCAGCACUUUGGGAGGCCGAGGUGGGUGGAUCAUGAGGUCAAGAGAUCGAGACCAUCUUGGCUAACAAAGUGAAACCCUGUCUCUACUAAAAACAUAAAAAAUUGGCCGGGUGUGGUGGUGGGCACCUGUAGUCCUAGCUACUCGGGAGGCUGAGACAGGAGAAUCGCCUGAACCGGGGAGGUGGAGGUUGCAGUGAGCUGAGAUUGUACCACUGCACUCCAGCCUGGGUGACAGAGUGAGACUCCAUCUCAAAAAAAUAAAAAUAAAAAAAUAAAAAGAAUGUGGUGUAUGA
ensembl:lncRNA OSER1-DT OSER1 divergent transcript